AUCGAAAAAUUCAAAAUAAAUAAAAACCAGGUUCUGGAAUGUGAAACUGCUCGCUCGUUGAAAAAGGCUGCUGCUCUGCUGCGCUUUGUUUCGUUCCUGAUCCCAACGGAAAAAACAAACCAAACCCUAAAAACUCCAAUUUCUAGAGAGUGAGAGAGUGGACAGAGUCUGCAGUGUAGAGUGUUGAGGGGAGAGAGAGGCCUGAGAAAUCGGCAACGGAAAAGAUGGCGUCGUCAAAACUAGUGUCGUCGUCGUCAAGAUCACGAAACUCGGAUCUCUCGCGACGCCCUUCUUCCAAUUCCCCCGCUACAAAACCCAAACCCUCAGCAACCCCAUCUUCCUCCUCCGCUCACCCCCAAACCCUGAACAACCACAGCAACGGCAUCAGUGAUUAUCACAGCACCAAUACGACGUCGUCCAUGCCAAUCGGCUCGAUGACCAUCGACGGCCUCCUCUAUGACCCGAACCCCACCCCCAUGACCGACGCCACCCUCCUCGACGCCCAAAUAACUCUAAUCAACACUGACGCCGCCGCAGAAAUGAACAGCUCCUCGGCGGCGGUGCCGCAGAAGACCGUCGACGAGGUCUGGAGGGAAAUUGUGUCCGGCGAGGCUCGGAAGGGGUGUAAAGAGGAGGUUCCGGAUGAUUUGAUGACUCUGGAGGACUUUUUGGCUCGGGCCGGGGCGGUGGAGGAGGACGACAUUAAGGAUAUGCCGCUUGCGAUGCCGCCUCCGGAGACGGAGAGAUUGAGCGGCGGUGUAUUUUCGUUUGAUCCGAUGCCGCAGCUCAGCCCGUUCAGUUCGAUUGAUAAGGUUGAAGGGUCGAUAAUUGGGUUUGGGGAUGGGGUUGAGAUGGUUGGGAGUGGAGGAGUGGGUAGAGGGAAGAGAGGGCGCGCCGUUUUGGAGCCUAUGGAUAAGGUGGCGCAGCAGAGACAGCGGAGGAUGAUCAAGAACCGUGAGUCAGCGGCCAGGUCCCGAGAGAGGAAACAGGCUUACCAAGCGGAGUUGGAAUCAUUGGCGGUCAGAUUAGAGGAGGAGAACGAGCAGCUUUUGAAAGAGAAGACUGAGAGGACUGAGGAAAGACGUAAGCAGCUAAUGGAAAAAGUCAUUCCGGUUGUGGAGAAGCGAAGACCAGCCCGUGCCCUCCGGAGAGUUCACUCGUUGCAGUGGUAAGAAUGUAUAUGCUUGAGGUGUGACGCAGAAGAACGUUGUUCCAAGGCAUAGGAGGAAAAAGUAUGACAUUGGACUAGGAAUCUGAGUGUCUCAAUUAGAUAUUUACAGCUGAUGAUUUAUCAUUUCCUAAGAGCUACUCUGGUUUCAGAGAGAUUGCAACCCGAGUCAUGAAAGGGCAUUCCUUGUGACUGAAGAAAAAGAUGGCAUCAACGAGGGAGAUAGAGGUAGAGAGCCUUAUGAUGUAUGUAGUUAAGAGCCUGUACAGGUAACUCAUGCAAUUGGUUUGGCAGUGAGGUUGGUAACCAAAUCUUGGCACUGAAAUGGUAGCUUGUUAAUCAGCAUAGACUGGGGGGACUGCAGCUGGAAAUUGGGGGAGAUUAGAUUACUUCUAUUACUUGAUUGCUGCUCUAGGAGCCACUACUUUCUGGUGUGUGCAAAUUGGUACAAGUACAAAGUCUCUGAGAGCAACAAUACCCUUCAAGGUUGAAGUUGAAGAAGUGUCUAAACUACCUGAGGAAAGAAUUGCUGUUUGAUUCCCAUUAGUUCAUGAUAUGCUAGCAACCUUCUUGUAUAUGUUUAUACUGAAAGUGCUUAAGAAAAUUAAAUUCCAGUCUUUUAAUGA